rnacentral:piRNA from 1 species
UACACGGAGGCGCCUAUGGAAAUCCCUGG